rnacentral:rRNA from 1 species
UACGAAGGGGGCUAGCGUUGUUCGGAAUCACUGGGCGUAAAGCGCACGUAGGGGGAUGUGCCAGUCAGGGGUGAAAUCCCGGAGCUCAACUUCGGAACUGCCUCUGAUACAGCACGUCUUGAGUCCGGAAGAGGUGGGUGGAAUUCCUAGUGUAGAGGUGAAAUUCGUAGAUAUUAGGAAGAACACCGGUGGCGAAGGCGGCCCACUGGUCCGGUACUGACGCUGAGGUGCGAAAGCGUGGGGAGCAAACAGG